rnacentral:rRNA from 1 species
UACGUAGGGGGCAAGCGUUGUCCCGGAUUUAUUGGGCGUAAAGAGCGUGUAGGCGGCCAGACAGGUCCGUUGUGAAAACUGGAGGCUUAACCUCCAGACGUCGAUGGAAACCGUCUGGCUAGAGUCCCGGAAGAGGAGAGUGGAAUUCCUGGUGUAGCGGUGAAAUGCGCAGAUAUCAGGAAGAACACCCGUGGCUAAGGCGGCUCUCUAGUACGGUACUGACGCUGAGACGCGAAAGCGUGGGAGCGAACAGG